rnacentral:rRNA from 1 species
AUGAAUACCUCUUCUGUGCCGGGCCCGGACGGCCUCCCUGUCAUUUUCUUCCAGACCUUCUGGAAUGUGAUUAAAACCGAGGUCAUGGCCAUCUUUGAUGAAUUCUUUGUUGGUUCUGUUGACCUAGGUCGCCUCAACUAUGGGAUCAUCUCUCUCAUCCCCAAGGUCCCUGGGGCGUCUGACAUCCGGCAGUUCCGCCCGAUCAUGGUCAUUAAUGUGAUCUUCCGGAUCUUGGCCAAGGGGUACGCCAAUAGGGUGACCCUGCUUGCGGAUCGGAUAACCCAUCCUAACCAGUCGGCCUUCAUUAAGGGCCGGUUCAUCCUGGAUGGUGUCCUUGUACUUCAUGAGGUUCUUCAUGAGGUCCGGGUUAUACGCCUUAAGGCGGUUUUUCUGAAGAUCAAUUUCCACAAAGCCUACGACACUGUUAGCUGGACCUUCCUCAGGGAAGUCCUUCUUCGGAAGGGCUUCGAUGACCGAUGGAUCACUAGAGUCAUGCAAAUGGUCUCUUGCGGUCGCACGGCGGUCAACAUCAAUGGUGAGAUUGGUCCUUUCUUCCCUACCCUUUGUGGCGUGCGCCAAGGCGACCCCUUCUCCCUGUUCCUCUUCAAUAUGGUAGUGGACGCUCUUGCCUCCAUUCUUGAUAAGGCAAAAGCCACUGGCCACAUUCGUGGGAUUACCCCCCACCUUUCUGGGGGCACGGGGAUCUCCAUCCUUCAGUAUGCUGAUGACACGAUCAUCAUGGUCGAAGGCUCGGAGGCGGACAUCGCCAACCUUAAGUUCCUCCUUCUCUGCUUCCAACGGAUGUCGGGCCUCAAGAUCGACAAGAGUGAUGUUAUGGUGAUGGGAUAUUCCCCCUCUGAGUCUAUGGCCAUCGCCAACAGACUUAAUUGCCGUCUGGGUUCUUUCCCCACUUCCUAA